rnacentral:rRNA from 1 species
CGGGAUGCAGCACCAGUGAGGAAUAUUGCACAAUGGGGGGAACCCUGAUGCAGCAACGCCGCGUGGAGGAUGACGCAUUUCGGUGUGUAAACUCCUUUUAUAUGUCAAGAAAAUGACGGUAGCAUAUGAAUAAGCACCGGCUAACUCCGUGCCAGCAGCCGCGGUAAUACGGAGGGUGCAAGCGUUACUCGGAAUCACUGGGCGUAAAGGACGCGUAGGCGGGUUGGAAAGUCAGGUGUGAAAUCCUACAGCUUAACUGUAGAACUGCACUUGAAACUUCUAAUCUAGAGUAUGGGAGGGGGAGAUGGAAUUAGUGGUGUAGGGGUAAAAUCCGUAGAUAUCACUAGGAAUACCUAAAGCGAAGGCGAUCUCCUGGAACAUUACUGACGCUAAGGCGUGAAAGCGUGGGGAGCAAACAGGAUUAGAUACCCGCGUAGUC